GACGAACGCUGGCGGCGCGCCUAACACAUGCAAGUCGAACGAGCGAGAGAGAGCUUGCUUUCUCGAGCGAGUGGCGAACGGGUGAGUAACGCGUGAGGAACCUGCCUCAAAGAGGGGGACAACAGUUGGAAACGACUGCUAAUACCGCAUAAGCCCACGGUGCCGCAUGGCACAGAGGGAAAAGGAGCAAUCCGCUUUGAGAUGGCCUCGCGUCCGAUUAGCUAGUUGGUGAGGUAACGGCCCACCAAGGCGACGAUCGGUAGCCGGACUGAGAGGUUGAACGGCCACAUUGGGACUGAGACACGGCCCAGACUCCUACGGGAGGCAGCAGUGGGGAAUAUUGCACAAUGGGGGAAACCCUGAUGCAGCGACGCCGCGUGGAGGAAGAAGGUCUUCGGAUUGUAAACUCCUGUUGUUGGGGAAGAUAAUGACGGUACC
rnacentral:rRNA from 1 species